AUUGAACGCUGGCGGCAGGCCUAACACAUGCAAGUCGAGCGGAAACGAUCCUAGCUUGCUAGGAGGCGUCGAGCGGCGGACGGGUGAGUAACACGUGAGAAUCUGCCCAUUAGAGGGGGAUAACCUGGGGAAACCCAGGCUAAUACCGCAUAAUCCCUACGGGGGAAAGCAGGGGAUCUUCGGACCUUGUGCUGAUGGAUGAGCUCGCGUCGGAUUAGCUUGUUGGUGAGGUAAUGGCUCACCAAGGCGACGAUCCGUAGCUGGUCUUAGAGGAUGAUCAGCCACACCGGGACUGAGACACGGCCCGGACUCCUACGGGAGGCAGCAGUGGGGAAUCUUGGACAAUGGGGGCAACCCUGAUCCAGCCAUGCCGCGUGUGUGAAGAAGGCCUUCGGGUUGUAAAGCACUUUCAGUAGGGAGGAAGGCUUAUCCUUAAUACGGAUGAGUACUUGACGUUACCUACAGAAGAAGCACCGGCUAAUUUCGUGCCAGCAGCCGCGGUAAUACGAAAGGUGCGAGCGUUAAUCGGAAUUACUGGGCGUAAAGCGCGCGUAGGCGGUUUGCUAGGUCAGAUGUGAAAGCCCCGGGCUCAACCUGGGAACUGCAUUUGAAACUGGCAGGCUAGAAUGCAGUAGAGGGAGGUGGAAUUUCCGGUGUAGCGGUGAAAUGCGUAGAGAUCGGAAGGAACACCAGUG
rnacentral:rRNA from 1 species